UGGGCUUUGGGGGAUGGCAGGCAGAGGGCCCCUGGGCUGGCCCUGCUGUAGUGCCUCUCGUGAAUACUCCUAAGGGAGCCCUAAUGUUUACCAACUAGGGGUUCAAGGAAGUAGGGGGGAAUGCUUUCAGAGGGCCCUAUGAUUAUGAAAGCCCCUGCUAAGGGUCGUGACUUCUGGCUAUGUGGGGGCCCUAGGGAGAGCCCUAAUGGGAAAGCAUUCUGUUAAGAGAGCCCUCUUAUUACAAAUGUUCUUAAAGGGCCUCUGAUUUACCAAGGGUUUUGAAUGAAAGUCCUUUCAGUGAGCCCUAAGACCGAGGAUAUGCUAGCUGUGUGACUUAAUUUACGUGCGCAACCGCACAUACUUGCAGCAGAACGAUGAGAGCAAUACGCACGAUACUGGUAGUCUUGCCAAAAACAAAUCACCCAAAGUCGCUAUUGGUUCUCUGAAAAGUCGUUAGAUUACGUCAUGACGUUACUAUGAUGUCAUAACAUCAGACACGACUCACUGAGCUCAAGAAAAUGUGUCUACAUGGCUAUGUUGACAAUCCCAAAGGGUACAGUUUACAGAGAACGGGGCUAAUGCGCAGUGCUGCUUAACCAUGCAAUAGGCUUCUGGUGGCGAUGCAGAGCUCAAGUUACAUUGAAAAACAAUGGUUUUGACACUCGAGAGAUGUGUUUUUUAAAGUCGCCAGAUUCAUCUAAAAAGCCGCUAAGUCGCUAGAUGAGGUUUUAGUCGCCAGAGACGGCCAAAAGUCGCUAAAUCUAGCGACAAAGUCGCUAAAUUGGCACCAUUGGAUACUGGCGGUUUCAUGUAGGGGGCAGAUAGCCAACCGGGCUCUCAUUAAUAUUUUCCACCAUUGUUUGACUCUACCACGAGCUAAACAUGGAAGUUCGGAAGAUCGCCCCUCGCGGUUGUGUCAAUAUUGCAACAUGCGCACAUGUCUGAAUACCUUGUGUUCAGGUGUGCUAUUACGCGUAACAUGGACAUAAAAUACGCAUGGCAACGCAUUCAGGCAUGAAAUGUGCACACGGCAAGCAUAUCCUGGGCCUAACGCUGGCCCCAGUAGACAGCUAGUAGAAGCUGGACCUAUUUUCUAUGAGAAGUGAUUUCGCUCCCGCACAGUAUUGUGUGUACACAAUACGACAUGGUCCUUGGAGUGCAUCGAAACUGUCAUUGCGACACGUCCAAAAGUUCAGAAAUCUCCAACUCCACGCAAAUUUAUCGCGCGUGGUCCAGUCACAAUACACAGCAGAUUCACGUGUCAUUAUAACCUAUAGUUACUUCGAGGAGAGUAGUAGACUGGUAGAUAUUCACCUUCAGAACACUGAGUUUCGCCCUGCUUCACUUUGCAGAUUUCGCUUCCUUAUGUCCCCACUGUAAAGGGGUGUACUGUACACACCAAUGCCAACAAAGUGAAGUCCAAGUGAAAAUCCAAUAUCCAUACAACACUCCCACAUUACACUUGGCAUUGCUUCUAUCGAAACUCCUCACAUGGCAGAAAUUUUGAUAGUUUAAGUGAAAAUCCAAUAUUGUUAAAUCCAUUUAUCGAAACUCCUAACAACAUUCUUACAUUAAAAUCUUUCCUAGACUAUCAGAUUUAGCAUCCAACACCCUAUUAAAAAGCUCAUUGACAUUUACAUUGUAUUGUAUUGUAUUGUAUUGUCUUGUAAUAAUAGUGUACCUUAACUAGACUUAAAGCCAUUGUAAGGGCUACUGUAUUUUCAGUGAACAAAUCUGGAAGUCUAAGUGUAACUAGAAAAAUUGCAUUUCCUUGCAGAAAAUGCGUGGAAAUGCUGAGUGCUGAAAGCUGAAAAAGCAAUGCUAAGCUGCUAAUAAAACAUGGAGAAAGAUAUUAAUGUAAAAGCUGUUGAAGGGGUGAAAAAGAAAUAUAAGUUGAAUAAUUGUGAACAUGGUUGAAGGACAAACAGUAUGAAUAUGCGCCAUGAAUUGAAAAUUUAUUAAUGCUGAAAGAGGCCAGAAAAAUGACUGAAAUUGCACAAAGUUUGAAUGGAGAAGUAAAUCACCUUAAAAAGCAGGAAGGUGAGAAGCGGCAUAAGUUAAUUUGUUGUUCUAGUGGUAGUAUGAUAAGUAGUCAUAGUAGUGAUAUUAGUAGUCAUGUAGUGAUAUUAGUAGUCAUGUAAGCAGUACAAAUAGUUUGAGAAUAGGAGAAGUCAAAGUAGUAGAGCUAGUGGUAGACGUAGUAGUAGCAGUAGAGAAAGUAGAAAUAGUAGCAAUAGUAGUUGAAGUAAACUCCUGGCCCCGGGGCCCAGA
rnacentral:lncRNA from 1 species